rnacentral:misc_RNA from 1 species
UUAAUUCUACGUUUAAUUCAGACACAGACAGAUAUAUUGCAUAAAUACGACGCCAUCGCGCCGAAGCACGGCUAGUUGAAGGCCGAAGCCAUUCGUUAAUGAUCCCUCCGCAGGUUCACCUACGGAGA